UAGGGAAUCUUCCGCAAUGGGCGAAAGCCUGACGGAGCAACGCCGCGUGAGUGAUGAAGGUCUUCGGAUCGUAAAACUCUGUUAUUAGGGAAGAACAAAUGUGUAAGUAACUAUGCACGUCUUGACGGUACCUAAUCAGAAAGCCACGGCUAACUACGUGCCAGCAGCCGCGGUAAUACGUAGGUGGCAAGCGUAUCCGGAAUUAUUGGGCGUAAAGCGCGCGUAGGCGGUUUUUUAAGUCUGAUGUGAAAGCCCACGGCUCAACCGUGGAGGGUCAUUGGAAACUGGAAAACUUGAGUGCAGAAGAGGAAAGUGGAAUUCCAUGUGUAGCGGUGAAAUGCGCAGAGAUAUGGAGGAACACCAGUGGCGAAGGCGACUUUCUGGUCUGUAACUGACGCUGAUGUGCGAAAGCGUGGGGAUCAAACAGG
rnacentral:rRNA from 1 species